UACGUAGGGGGCAAGCGUUAUCCGGAUUUACUGGGUGUAAAGGGAGCGUAGACGGCAGGGCAUGUCUGGAGUGAAAGGCAGGGGCCCAACCCCUGGACUGCUCUGGAAACUGUCCGGCUGGAGUGCAGGAGAGGUAAGUGGAAUUCCUAGUGUAGCGGUGAAAUGCGUAGAUAUUAGGAGGAACACCAGUGGCGAAGGCGGCUUACUGGACUGUAACUGACGUUGAGGCUCGAAAGCGUGGGGAGCAAACAGG
rnacentral:rRNA from 1 species